rnacentral:rRNA from 1 species
GCAGUCGAACGGCAGCAUGAUCUAGCUUGCUAGAUUGAUGGCGAGUGGCGAACGGGUGAGUAAUACAUCGGAACGUGCCCUGUAGUGGGGGAUAACUAGUCGAAAGAUUAGCUAAUACCGCAUACGACCUGAGGGUGAAAGUGGGGGACCGCAAGGCCUCAUGCUAUAGGAGCGGCCGAUGUCUGAUUAGCUAGUUGGUGAGGUAAAGGCUCACCAAGGCGACGAUCAGUAGCUGGUCUGAGAGGACGAUCAGCCACACUGGGACUGAGACACGGCCCAGACUCCUACGGGAGGCAGCAGUGGGGAAUUUUGGACAAUGGGGGCAACCCUGAUCCAGCAAUGCCGCGUGUGUGAAGAAGGCCUUCGGGUUGUAAAGCACUUUUGUCCGGAAAGAAAUCGCACUUACUAAUAUUAGGUGUGGAUGACGGUACCGGAAGAAUAAGGACCGGCUAACUACGUGCCAGCAGCCGCGGUAAUACGUAGGGUCCAAGCGUUAAUCGGAAUUACUGGGCGUAAAGCGUGCGCAGGCGGUUGUGCAAGACCGAUGUGAAAUCCCCGGGCUUAACCUGGGAAUUGCAUUGGUGACUGCACGGCUAGAGUGUGUCAGAGGGGGGUAGAAUUCCACGUGUAGCAGUGAAAUGCGUAGAGAUGUGGAGGAAUACCGAUGGCGAAGGCAGCCCCCUGGGAUAACACUGACGCUCAUGCACGAAAGCGUGGGGAGCAAACAGGAUUAGAUACCCUGGUAGUCCACGCCCUAAACGAUGUCAACUAGUUGUUGGGGAUUCAUUUCCUUAGUAACGUAGCUAACGCGUGAAGUUGACCGCCUGGGGAGUACGGUCGCAAGAUUAAAACUCAAAGGAAUUGACGGGGACCCGCACAAGCGGUGGAUGAUGUGGAUUAAUUCGAUGCAACGCGAAAAACCUUACCUACCCUUGACAUGCCACUAACGAAGCAGAGAUGCAUUAGGUGCUCGAAAGAGAAAGUGGACACAGGUGCUGCAUGGCUGUCGUCAGCUCGUGUCGUGAGAUGUUGGGUUAAGUCCCGCAACGAGCGCAACCCUUGUCUCUAGUUGCUACGAAAGGGCACUCUAGAGAGACUGCCGGUGACAAACCGGAGGAAGGUGGGGAUGACGUCAAGUCCUCAUGGCCCUUAUGGGUAGGGCUUCACACGUCAUACAAUGGUGCAUACAGAGGGUUGCCAAGCCGCGAGGUGGAGCUAAUCCCAGAAAAUGCAUCGUAGUCCGGAUCGUAGUCUGCAACUCGACUACGUGAAGCUGGAAUCGCUAGAAUCGCGGAU